rnacentral:rRNA from 1 species
GGGUUGUGAGGUUAAGCGACUAAGCGUACACGGUGGAUGCCCUGGCAGUCAGAGGCGAUGAAGGGCGUGCUAAUCUGCGAUAAGCGCCGGUAAGGUGAUAUGAACCGUUAUAACCGGCGAUACCCGAAUGGGGAAACCCAGUGUGACUCGUCACACUAUCAUUAACUGAAUCCAUAGGUUAAUGAGGCGAACCGGGGGAACUGAAACAUCUAAGUACCCCGAGGAAAAGAAAUCAACCGAGAUUCCCCCAGUAGCGGCGAGCGAACGGGGAGGAGCCCAGAGCCUGAAUCAGCAUGUGUGUUAGUGGAAGCGUCUGGAAAGGCGCGCGAUACAGGGUGACAGCCCCGUACACAAAAGCGCAUGUGCUGUGAGCUCGAUGAGUAGGGCGGGACACGUGGUAUCCUGUCUGAAUAUGGGGGGACCAUCCUCCAAGGCUAAAUACUCCUGACUGACCGAUAGUGAACCAGUACCGUGAGGGAAAGGCGAAAAGAACCCCGGCGAGGGGAGUGAAAAAGA